rnacentral:rRNA from 1 species
GUGGCGGUUCCUGAGGUCCGAUUUUUCGGUACUAUUGGGCGCCGCCAUCCUUGGGUGGAACCUGUGUGGCAUUAGGUUGUCGUGCAGGGGAUGCCCAUCUUUUACUGUGAAAAAAUUAGAAUGUUCAAAGUAGGCUUACGCCGUUGAAUAUAUUAGCAUGGAAUAACACUAUAUGACUUUGGAUCUAUUUUGUUGGUUUGCGCUCCGAAGUAAUGAUUAACAGGGACAGUUGGGGGUAUUAAUAUUGCCUUGUCAGAGGUGAAAUUCUUGGAUUUUGGCAAGAUUAACUACUGCGAAAGCAUUUACCAAGGAUGUUUUCAUUAAUCAAGAACGAAAGUUAGGGGAUCGAAGAUGAUUAGAUACCAUCGUAGUCUUAACCAUAAACGUUGCCGACAAGGGAUUGGUGGGGUUUCGUUAUGUCUCCAUCAGCACCUUAUGAGAAAUCACAAGUCUUUGGGUUCCGGGGGGAGUAUGGUCGCAAGG